UGCCAGCAGCCGCGGUAAUACGGAGGGUCCAAGCGUUAUCCGGAUUCAUUGGGUUUAAAGGGUGCGCAGGUGGGCUUUUAAGUCAGUGGUGAAAUACUGCCGCUUAACGGUAGAAUUGCCAUUGAUACUGAGAGUCUUGAGUAUGGUUGAGGUAGGCGGAAUGUGUUGUGUAGCGGUGAAAUGCAUAGAUAUGACACAGAACGCCGAUUGCGGAGGCAGCUUACUAAGCCAUUACUGACACUGAGGCACGAAAGCGUGGGGAGCAAACAGGAUUAGAUA
rnacentral:rRNA from 1 species